UUUUAAUUAAUCAAUUUUAGAAUAAGGCUGUAACAUAACAAAAUAUGGUACAUGUCAAAGGGGUCUGAAUACUUGUCCGAAUGCCUCGUAUAUUCCUCUCCUAUGUACUGGAUGUGUCAAUAAGAUAACAAGAUGGAAAGGAAGGGGAAUAGAGAGAUGGAGGUGUGGAGGUGUGGUGUGAUUCAUGGAUGUGUCAAUACGAUGGAAAGGAAGGGCAAUAGAGAGAUGGAGGUGUGGUGUGAUUCAUGGAUGUGUCAAUACGAUGGAAAGGAAGGGCAAUAGAGAGAUGGAGGUGUGGAGGUGUGGUGUGAUUCAUGGAUGUGUCAAUAAGAUAACAAGAUGGGAAGGAGGGGAAUAGAGAGAUGGAGGUGUGGUGUGAUUCAUGGAUGUGUCAAUAAGAUGGAAAGGAAGGGGAAUAGAGAGAUGGAGGUGUGGUGUGAUUCAUGGAUGUGUCAAUACGAUGGAAAGGAAGGGCAAUAGAGAGAUGGAGGUGUGGUGUGAUUCAUGGAUGUGUCAAUAAGA